rnacentral:rRNA from 1 species
AUUGAACGCUGGCGGCAGGCCUAACACAUGCAAGUCGAACGGUAGCACAGAGAGCUUGCUCUCGGGUGACGAGUGGCGGACGGGUGAGUAACGUCUGGGAAACUGCCCGAUGGAGGGGGAUAACUACUGGAAACGGUAGCUAAUACCGCAUAACGUCGCAAGACCAAAGUGGGGGACCUUCGGGCCUCACACCAUCGGAUGUGCCCAGAUGGGAUUAGCUAGUAGGUGGGGUAAUGGCUCACCUAGGCGACGAUCCCUAGCUGGUCUGAGAGGAUGACCAGGCACACUGGAACGGAGACAAGGUCCAGACGCCUAGGGGAGGCAGCAGUGGGGAAUAUUGCAAAAUGGGCGCAAGCCUGAUGCAGCCAUGCCGCGUGUAUGAAGAAGGCCUUCGGGUUGUAAAGUACUUUCAGCGGGGAGGAAGGCGGUGAAGUUAAUAGCUUCACCGAUUGACGUUACCCGCAGAAGAAGCACCGGCUAACUCCGUGCCAGCCGCCGCAGUAA